rnacentral:piRNA from 1 species
UAUUUUCAAUACUGAAGAGAUGGGUC